CUAUAACAGCUCGCAGAGACCAGUAAUAUAAUAUCACACUCUGCUGAUGACUGAUAUGUUCAAGGCCAUGCUCCUCCCAAGCUGCUUCAGGCUGCUGCCCUGGCCAGCAGAAGUUAAUUCUGGGAGCCCAUGAGGGUGUGAGGGUACAGGAAUCCUCGGAUGAUGAGAGCCCGGUACUGGCAGACUCCAUUCAGAGACCACGCCCCUGGUUCCGAGUGUGAAGGCUGCCGAGCCUGAGCACCUGCGUUUGAUCUCUGAAGCCAACACCGUGGAAGGAGACAAGCGACCCUGAAAGUUGUGCUCUGACCUCCACACUCGUGCUGUGGCGUGGGAGUGCCCUCUCCCACACCACAAAACAAUUAAUGAAUACUCUUACUCUUA